rnacentral:rRNA from 1 species
GACGAACGCUGGCGGCGUGCUUAACACAUGCAAGUCGAACGGAAAGGCCCUGCUUGCAGGGUACUCGAGUGGCGAACGGGUGAGUAACACGUGGGUGCUCUGCCCUCCACUUCGGGAUAAGCCUGGGAAACUGGGUCUAAUACCGGAUAGGAGCCAUUUUUAGCGUGAUGGUUGGAAAGUUUUUUCGGUGUAGGAUGAGCUCGCGGCCUAUUAGCUUGUUGGUGGGGUAAUGGCCUACCAAGGCGGCGACGGGUAGCCGGCCUGAGAGGGUGGACGGCCACAUUGGGACUGAGAUACGGCCCAGACUCCGACGGGAGGCAGCAGUGGGGAAGAUUGCACAAUGGGCGCAAGCCUGAUGCAGCGACGCCGCGUGGGGGAUGACGGCCUUCGGGUUGUAAACUCCUUUCGCUAGGGACGAAGCUUUUUGUGACGGUACCUAGAUAAGAAGCACCGGCUAACUACGUG